CGAGGCUCAGUAUGUACCACACUCCUCCCGAUGGGUGAGCAACACCAGUAACGCCCACCCAUAUUCCUUUUCCUCCUCUCCACUUAGCAUAUACAGCGAUGGUUGUGCAGGGAAUGACUGUUCGUCUAAGUGGUGAUGGUCGUGGACCGAGGUCUGACAUCAAGUUCACAGGCACUGGAAAGAAAAAAGAGGUGAUGAUGUGGAGUGCACUUGCAGAAGAACACGAAAAUCUGCAGCAACAGCUGAGUACGAUUGCAGCAGCACAGGAUGUAACUCAGAAUGUAACGGCACAAAGCGCAUCGCACAA